GACGAACGCUGGCGGCGUGCCUAACACAUGCAAGUCGAACGGAAAGGCCCUGCUUUUGUGGGGUUCUCGAGUGGCGAACGCGUGAGUAACACGUGAGUAACCUGCCCUUGACUUUGGGAUAACUUCAGGAAACUGGGGCUACUACCGGAUAGGAGCUCCUGCUGCAUGGUGGGGGUUGGAAAGUUUCGGCUGUUGGGGAUGGACUCGCGGCUUAUCAGCUUGUUGGUGGGGUAGGGGCUUACCAAGGAUUUGACUGGUAGCCGGCCUGGGAGGGUGACCGGCCACAUUGGGACUGAGAUACGGACCAGACUGCUACGGGAGGCAGCAGUGGGGAAUAUUGCACAAUGGGCGGGAGCCUGAUGCAGCAACGCCGCGUGCGGGAUGACGGCCUUCGGGGUGUGAACCGCUGUCGCCUGUGACGAAGCGGGAGUGACGGUAAUGGGUAAAGAAGCACCGGCUAACUACGUG
rnacentral:rRNA from 1 species